rnacentral:rRNA from 1 species
AGGUGUAGUCGAUGGGAAACGGGUUAAUAUUCCCGUACCUUGGAUAGCUGCGAUGGAGAGACGGAGAAGGCUAGGUGAGCCGGGCGACGGUUGUCCCGGUUUAAGCGAGUAGGGAGUGGACUUAGGCAAAUCCGGGUCCACAAUCCUGAGACGCGACGACGAGUGCCCACGGGCGCGAAGUCAUUGAUGCCCUGCUUCCAGGAAAAUCUUCUAAGCUUCAGGCUAUUCGAGACCGUACCCCAAACCGACACAGGUGGUCAGGUAGAGAAUACCAAGGCGCUUGAGAGAACUCGGGUAAAGGAACUAGGCAAAAUGGUGCCGUAACUUCGGGAGAAGGCACGCCGGUGUGUACGUGAAGCCCCUGCGGGUGGAGCGGAAGCCGGUCGAAGAUACCAGGCCCCUGCGACUGUUUAUUAAAAACACA